CCUCCUUUUCUUUGUCAUGCAUGCAUAUUAAUUGAGGAUGGAGAAUAUCUACGCUUGUUCAGGCCAGCCAACAUACGACAGUUUACUUCAAGAGAGGAGACAUGGGUUGAAUGCUGAAAACACGCACAGCCAAGCCCAGAUGCCAGUCUUGUUAGCUGCCUUCCUUUACCUUCAAGAGUGGGCUGAAGCUUGUCCAAUCUUUCAAGGUUGCUGAAGACUGUAUGAUGGAAGUCAUCUGCAUUGGGAAAGAAAUUAAUGGAGAGAGGAGAAAACUUGAGAAUCCACACUACUCACCUUGCAGGGCCAAGAACUCUGUCUCCCAUGCAUUGCUGUCCUGUCUCAGUAUUUCCUGUGACCACCUCCUUUUUCAACUGAAGACUUUGUACCUGAAGGGGUUCCCAGGUUUUUCACCUCGGCCCUUAUCAGGACUGAUCCUCUCAACUACUGACCAUUUCACCUCCAUUCAUGUCCAUGCCACAUCAGGCUGUGUUGUCUAGAUGGAAUGAAUCUACCCCAAAUGUCCCUUUCUGGAGGAAGCCACCAUUAUGCUGUACCUCCAAGCAUAAUGGUACAUCCACACACACCAAGGCACCUCGCUCAUGCAAGGUGUGUGUCCUCUAACAAAGUUUCACGCUCUAAACCCAGAUAACUUUUCAAAUCCAAGUUCUGUUGAUUCCCCUACUUUGGGUGCUCCAUAGAUGCUCAUUUGUCUACUAAACACUGCCCCAGGCAAUUAAAUAUUCCAAAGUGACCAGCAGAAUUUUUAUGUUAAUU
rnacentral:lncRNA from 1 species